rnacentral:rRNA from 1 species
ACGAACGCUGGCGGCGUGCUUCACACAUGCCAGUCGAACGGAAAGGCCCCUUUGGGGGUCCUCGAGUGGCGAACGGGUGAGUAACACGUGAGUAACCUGCCCUUGACUUCGGGAUAACUUCAGGAAACUGGGGCUAAUACCGGAUAGGAAUCCUUGCUGCAUGGUGGGGGUUGGAAAGCUUCGGCGGUUUUGGAUGGACUCGCGGCUUAUCAGCUUGUUGGUGGGGUAGUGGCUUACCAAGGCUUUGACGGGUAGCCGGCCUGAGAGGGCGACCGGCCACAUUGGGACUGAGAUACGGCCCAGACUCCUACGGGAGGCAGCAGUGGGGAAUAUUGCACAAUGGGCGGAAGCCUGAUGCAGCAACGCCGCGUGCGGGAUGACGGCCUUCGGGUUGUAAACCGCUUUCAGCAGGGGCGAAGCUUGUGGUGACGGUACCUGCAGAAGAAGCACCGGCUAACUACGUG